rnacentral:pre_miRNA from 1 species
AAAGUACUCUCUCCGUCCCAAAAUUCUUGUCUUAGAUUUGUCUAGAUACAGAUGUAUCAAGUCACAUUUUAGUAUUAGAUACAUCCGUAUCUAGACAAAUCUAAGACAAGAAAUUUGGGACAGAGGGAGUAGUUG